UACGUAGGUGGCAAGCGUUAUCCGGAUUUAUUGGGCGUAAAGAGAACGCAGGCGGUCUUUUAAGUCUGAUGUGAGAGCCUUCGGCUUAACCGGAGUAGUGCAUUGGAAACUGGGAGACUUGAGUGCAGAAGAGGAGAGUGGAACUCCAUGUGUAGCGGUGAAAUGCGUAGAUAUAUGGAAGAACACCAGUGGCGAGAGCGGCUCUCUGGUCUGUAACUGACGCUGAGGUCCGAAAGCGUGGGUAGCAAACAGG
rnacentral:rRNA from 1 species